CAUGGCGUAGCUCAACGGAAAGAGCACUCUGUUAUCGACGAUCAGUAAUUGAUUCAUGAUUCGGGCAGAGAGGUUGUGAGUUCAAAUCUCACCGCCAUAA
rnacentral:tRNA from 1 species